GGUCAAGUGAAGAAGCGCAUACGGUGGAUGCCUUGGCAGUCAGAGGCGAUGAAAGACGUGGUAGCCUGCGAAAAGCUUCGGGGAGUCGGCAAACAGACUGUGAUCCGGAGAUGUCUGAAUGGGGGAACCCAGCCAUCAUAAGAUGGUUAUCUUGUACUGAAUACAUAGGUGCAAGAGGCGAACCAGGGGAACUGAAACAUCUAAGUACCCUGAGGAAAAGAAAUCAACCGAGAUUCCCUUAGUAGUGGCGAGCGAACGGGGACUAGCCCUUAAGUGGCUUUGAGAUUAGCGGAACGCUCUGGAAAGGGCGGCCAUAGUGGGUGAUAGCCCUGUACGCGAAAAUCUCUUAGUCAUGAAAUCGAGUAGGACGGAGCACGAGAAACUUUGUCUGAAUAUGGGGGGACCAUCCUCCAAGGCUAAAUACUACUGACUGACCGAUAGUGAACUAGUACCGUGAGGGAAAGGCGAAAAGAACCCCGGAGAGGGGAGUGAAAUAGAUCCUGAAACCGUAUGCGUACAAGCAGUGGGAGCCCACUUUGUUGGGUGACUGCGUACCUUUUGUAUAAUGGGUCAGCGACUUAUUUCAGUGGCGAGCUUAACCGAAUAGGGGAGGCGUAGCGAAAGCGAGUCUUAAUAGGGCGUCUAGUCGCUGGGAAUAGACCCGAAACCGGGCGAUCUAUCCAUGGGCAGGUUGAAGGUUGGGUAACACUAACUGGAGGACCGAACCGACUACCGUUGAAAAGUUAGCGGAUGACCUGUGGAUCGGAGUGAAAGGCUAAUCAAGCUCGGAGAUAGCUGGUUCUCCUCGAAAGCUAUUUAGGUAGCGCCUCAUGUAUCACUGUAGGGGGUAGAGCACUGUUUCGGCUAGGGGGUCACCCGACUUACAAACCGAUGCAAACUCCGAAUACCUACAAGUGCCGAGCAUGGGAGACACACGGCGGGGCUAACGCCGUCGUGAAAAGGGAAACAACCCAGACCGUCAGCUAAGGUCCCAAAGUUAUGGUUAAGUGGGAAACGAUGUGGGAAGGCUUAGACAGCUAGGAGGUUGGCUUAGAAGCAGCCACCCUUUAAAGAAAGCGUAAUAGCUCACUAGUCGAGUCGGCCUGCGCGGAAGAUGUAACGGGGCUCAAACCAUACACCGAAGCUACGGGUAUCACUUAGGUGAUGCGGUAGAGGAGCGUUCUGUAAGCCUGUGAAGGUGAGUUGAGAAGCUUGCUGGAGGUAUCAGAAGUGCGAAUGCUGACAUGAGUAACGACAAUGGGUGUGAAAAACACCCACGCCGAAAGACCAAGGUUUCCUGCGCAACGUUAAUCGACGCAGGGUUAGUCGGUCCCUAAGGCGAGGCUGAAAAGCGUAGUCGAUGGAAAACAGGUUAAUAUUCCUGUACUUCUGGUUAUUGCGAUGGAGGGACGGAGAAGGCUAGGCCAGCUUGGCGUUGGUUGUCCAAGUUUAAGGUGGUAGGCUGGAAUCUUAGGUAAAUCCGGGAUUCUAAGGCCGAGAGCUGAUGACGAGUUACCCUUUGGGUGACGAAGUGGUUGAUGCCAUGCUUCCAAGAAAAGCUUCUAAGCUUCAGGUAACCAGGAACCGUACCCCAAACCGACACAGGUGGUUGGGUAGAGAAUACCAAGGCGCUUGAGAGAACUCGGGUGAAGGAACUAGGCAAAAUGGCACCGUAACUUCGGGAGAAGGUGCGCCGGUGAGGGUGAAGCACUUGCUGCGUAAGCCCACGCCGGUCGAAGAUACCAGGCCGCUGCGACUGUUUAUUAAAAACACAGCACUCUGCAAACACGAAAGUGGACGUAUAGGGUGUGACGCCUGCCCGGUGCCGGAAGGUUAAUUGAUGGGGUUAGCUAACGCGAAGCUCUUGAUCGAAGCCCCGGUAAACGGCGGCCGUAACUAUAACGGUCCUAAGGUAGCGAAAUUCCUUGUCGGGUAAGUUCCGACCUGCACGAAUGGCGUAACGAUGGCGGCGCUGUCUCCACCCGAGACUCAGUGAAAUUGAAAUCGCUGUGAAGAUGCAGUGUAUCCGCGGCUAGACGGAAAGACCCCGUGAACCUUUACUAUAGCUUUGCACUGGACUUUGAAUUUGCUUGUGUAGGAUAGGUGGGAGGCUUUGAAGCGUGGACGCCAGUUCGCGUGGAGCCAACCUUGAAAUACCACCCUGGCAACUUUGAGGUUCUAACUCAGGUCCGUUAUCCGGAUCGAGGACAGUGUAUGGUGGGUAGUUUGACUGGGGCGGUCUCCUCCUAAAGAGUAACGGAGGAGUACGAAGGUGCGCUCAGACCGGUCGGAAAUCGGUCGUAGAGUAUAAAGGCAAAAGCGCGCUUGACUGCGAGACAGACACGUCGAGCAGGUACGAAAGUAGGUCUUAGUGAUCCGGUGGUUCUGUAUGGAAGGGCCAUCGCUCAACGGAUAAAAGGUACUCCGGGGAUAACAGGCUGAUACCGCCCAAGAGUUCAUAUCGACGGCGGUGUUUGGCACCUCGAUGUCGGCUCAUCACAUCCUGGGGCUGAAGCCGGUCCCAAGGGUAUGGCUGUUCGCCAUUUAAAGUGGUACGCGAGCUGGGUUUAGAACGUCGUGAGACAGUUCGGUCCCUAUCUGCCGUGGACGUUUGAGAUUUGAGAGGGGCUGCUCCUAGUACGAGAGGACCGGAGUGGACGAACCUCUGGUGUUCCGGUUGUCACGCCAGUGGCAUUGCCGGGUAGCUAUGUUCGGAAAAGAUAACCGCUGAAAGCAUCUAAGCGGGAAACUUGCCUCAAGAUGAGAUCUCACUGGGACCUUGAGUCCCCUGAAGGGCCGUCGAAGACUACGACGUUGAUAGGUGGGGUGUGUAAGCGCUGUGAGGCGUUGAGCUAACCCAUACUAAUUGCCCGUGAGGCUUGACCAU
rnacentral:rRNA from 1 species